GCUGAGGCGGCUGUUGUCUGGGCAACCCGGUGUCCGCAUUCCCGGUGCCGCCGCGGGCCGGGGCGGAGCGGGCAGGUACCGGCAGGAACGGGCGGACACAGAGCGCACACCGCCCCUGAGCACGGCCGGGGACCGCCCCGGUGCCCCCGCGCCGCCUCAGCCGCUCAGGUCAUCCCAACAUGGAUUCCCUCACCAAGGCAAUGACAUCUUCCUUCCAGUCAAACACUUCCCACCUAACAAGGAACAAGGAAUUUCCGCCAGAUUUAUUCCAGAAUCUGCAGCCUCAGCCACACAAAGGCACCAGGGAAGCAAAGAAAACUCCUUCCAGCCUGCAGAGCCACACCACACAGAGCUCCUCAGCUGCCUGCCUGAUGAUGCAAGCAGUGAAUAAGCACGAAUAAAGACACAGAAACUGGGUGUUGUUUGUAGAAGUGAGGAGCAGAGCCCUCCACCCAGCGCUGGGGAUACCAGAGCUCUUGCACAACUCAGCUCUCAGCCUGCUGCUCCUUUUCAUGCACCUCUGUCUCUGUGGGCACUUUUUCACCAGGAGCACUCGGGAAGUUUUCCUUCCUCCCCAGCUGGAAUGCCAGAGUGGGAUUCCUGUGUCAGGAUUUCCCUCAGACUCUGCUCACCAUGAGCAGGCCUGUGCUGGCCUGCCAGGGCUGCCUCACGGGCAGCUAAUUAGUGGUACUCAGUUCUAAGAAUUGGAAGAUGAUCAUUAACUAAAAUUGGUCUGAAACCUGCAGUUUUGUAGAGGCUGAGUAAUUAAAACAGGCAAUGGGC